rnacentral:rRNA from 1 species
UUAAGCAUAUCAAUAAGCGGAGGAAAAGAAACCAACAGGGAUUGCCUCAGUAACGGCGAGUGAAGCGGCAACAGCUCAAAUUUGAAAUCUGGCCCUAGGCCCGAGUUGUAAUUUGCAGAGGAUGUUUCUGGCGAGGUGCCUUCCGAGUUCCCUGGAACGGGACGCCAUAGAGGGUGAGAGCCCCGUACGGUUGGUCGCUAAGCCUCUGUGAAACUCCUUCGACGAGUCGAGUAGUUUGGGAAUGCUGCUCUAAAUGGGAGGUAUACGUCUUCUAAAGCUAAAUACCGGCCAGAGACCGAUAGCGCACAAGUAGAGUGAUCGAAAGAUGAAAAGCACUUUGAAAAGAGGGUUAAAUAGUACGUGAAAUUGUUGAAAGGGAAGCGCUUAUGACCAGACUUGGACCGGUUGAUCAUCCAUCGUUCUCGGUGGUGCACUCUGCCGGUUCAGGCCAGCAUCAGUUUGUCCCGGGGGAUAAAGGCUUUGGGAAUGUGGCUCUUCGGAGUGUUAUAGCCCACUGCGUAAUACCCUGGGGUAGACUGAGGUUCGCGCUCCGCAAGGAUGCUGGCGUAAUGGUCAUCAGUGACCCGUCUUGAAACACGGACCAAGGAGUCGUCUUCGUAUGCGAGUGUUCGGGUGUCAAACCCCUACGCGGAAUGAAAGUGAACGUAGGAGAGAGCUUCGGCGCAUCUCCGACCGAUCCUGAUGUUCUCGGAUGGAUUUGAGUAAGAGCAUACGGGGCCGGACCCGAAAGAAGGUGAACUAUGCUUGUAUAGGGUGAAGCCAGAGGAAACUCUGGUGGAGGCUCGCAGCGGUUCUGACGUGCAAAUCGAUCGUCAAAUAUGAGCAUGGGGGCGAAAGACUAAUCGAACCUUCUAGUAGCUGGUUUCCGCCGAAGUU